CCUUCGAUAGCUCAGCUGGUAGAGCGGAGGACUGUAGAGUGACAGCAGGAAUCCUUAGGUCGCUGGUUCGAUUCCGGCUCGAAGGA
rnacentral:tRNA from 1 species